CAAGCCCGCCAGCGGUAGAACAAUCGCCUCCAAGAAGGCCCAACUCAAGAAGAAUGUCCACAAUACCACCCCUGUUUGAACCUCCAUCCACACCUCCAUCCGUAUAUCAGUCUGUACCUCCAUCUGCACCUCCAUCCUCACCUCCAUCCGUACAUCAGUCUAUAGCUCCAUCUGCACCUCCACCUGUACCUCUAUCUGCCCCUCCAUCCGCACUUCCAUCCGUACAUCAGUCCGUACCUCCAUCUGCACCUCCGCCUUUACAUGGGAAGUUCGGGUGCAGGAAGCGAGGGGGGAGAAAGCGAAGACUGAAGACGCGCUACUGAGCGGGGAGGAAGGUGAUCUGUAAAACACCAACCUUUGUUUUUUUUGUAAAUAUGAUUAUUUUUGUAUAUUAUUAUUAUUUCUAUUAUUGUUAUUGUUACUGUUAUUAUUAUUAUAAUUAAAAACACAUUAUUCUGAAAGA